UAUUUCUCAGCCACGUUAUUUUUUUUUUUUGAGACACAGUCUCGCUCUGUCGCCCAGCCUGGAGUGCCAUGGCGCGAUCUUGGCUCACUGCAACCUCUGCCUCCUGCGUUCAAGUGAUUAUCCCGUCUCAGCCUCCGGAGUAGCUGGGAUUACAGGCAUACACCACCACACCCGGCUAAUUUUUGUAUUUUUGGUAGAGACGGGGUUUCACCGUGUUGGCCAGGCUGGUCUCGAACUCCUGACCCCAAGUGACCCACCUGCCAUGGUCCCCCAAAGUGCUGGGAUUGCAGGCGUGAACCACCGCGCCUGGCCUCUCAGCCACAUUAUUGAUCUGCUCAUCAUGUCCUCCUUCCCCCCGAUCAUUGUCCCCAAGCUAACCUGAGCUUCCUAAAGCCCACAGAGAGCUUGCCAUGGCCUCGGGAACACUCAGACUCUUGCCUACUCCUCCAGCCUGGCGCUAAAGAGGCACCCCCCACAAAAAAUUUGCUGAAUAAAGGACUGAGUGAUGUCAUUGGGCCACAAUUGACUCCUGGGGCUCUCUUGUCCCUUCAACUCCACCUCUCAUCUGCAUGUGUGAACCUCCCAGUUGGACUGGAAAAAGGUUUAGCUCCUCUCUUUAUCCUGCAAGGAAGCUCUGCAGGAAACUCUCCAAGAGGACAAUAAGCCCCCUUGCCUUUGCAAAAACAUUUUAAUACCUGUUAUUUUCAGCUGAGUCCCGCACAGAUCGGCAGCACCGGUUUUGAAGGCCACGUGUACUCCAGAUUCUUGUCACCAACGGUACCACUGCUCCGCCUUGAAUGCUGUCUCCCCUGAGCUGUGAGUCCCAGGGCAGAUGCUACCCUUCUCACCCUGUGUCCCAGCUCCAGUCACACCCACUGGUCCAAUGUGGGCUGGCACAGAAGACUGCAGGCCUGGGGGUGCCCAGCACUGGGACUGGAGAUCAGAACACCUGACUUCAAAGUCUGGUUUGAGCACUUUCUAGCUGUGUGCCCUUGGGCAAGGAGACUGGUCCUUUGCCCAGAUCCCACAGCCAGAGAGGGGCGAGGCAGGAUGGAAACCCUGGUCUGUGUCCCUCGGAGCCUGGGCCCUGGGAUGUGUGAGUCUCUUCUGGCUUCUGUAACAAAUGACCACUAACUGGCUAGAGACAGCACAACUGUAGCAUCUUACAGUUCCGGAGCUCAGGAGUCGGAAACGGGCCUUGCCUGGCUAAAAUCAAGGUGUCAGCCGGAAGGCGCUCUCCCUGGAGGCUCUAGGGGAGAAAGUUGUUUCUUGCCUUUUCCAGCUUUUAGAGGCUGCCUGCAUUCCUUGGCUCAUAGCCGCCUCUUCCAUGUUCAAGGCCAGCAAUGGAGCAUCCUUAAAUCUCCCUUUCUGACUCUGGCCGUCCUGUCUCCCUCUUAUGAGGACCCUUGUGAUGACACUGGCUCCUCCAGAUCAGCCAGGAUCACCUCCCCACUUGGAGAUCCUUGACUUCCUCACAUCUGUAAAGUCCCUUCUGCCGUGUGACAUAUAAGGAGGCCAAGAUGCGUCUGAUCUUUAAAAGACUAAAGCCCCCCAAACAAGUCUGAGGAGACUCCUGGCUUGUUUUUAUUUUGGCCAGGAAAGUUUUCCAAUAUCCCUGGCCUUCAGGCUUGUCCCCUAGGAGGAUGGAGGGACUGAGCUGGGGAGAUGUCUGUGAAUGGGGGUGGGGUGGAUUCACAGGUUUCAGGGGUUAGAACGCCAGUGUCUUUGGGACCCAUUAUUCUGCCUUCCACUGCGUGGAUGAUGGGAAAGCUCCUGGUUCCAGGGCGCAAACUUAGCCUGGCUCUUUGGCCUCUCUGUGCCUCAGUUUAUAUAAUGAGGGUGAGGAGAAUAUCUGUUGGGGUUGUUGAAGUAGUGAAGGAGUUGGUAAUUGAAAAGUGCUAAGCAUAUGCCAGGCACUGUGGACACAUGCGCUGUACCUUUUGGGAGGGCACAUCCCUCCCCCACCUGCUACCACCCCACCCAGGCUGGCAUGCAGUGGUGCAAUCACAGCUCACUGCAGCCUUGACUUUCCGGGGCUUAAGUCAUCCUCCCACCUCAGCCUCCGGAGUAGCUGGGACCACAGGUGCACACCAUUACACCCAGCUAAUUUUUAAAUUUUUUGUAGAGACGGGGUUUUGCCAUGUUGUCUAGGCUGGAAGUCCAUCUGACAUUGAAGUUCUCUUUCAGUUUUGACAUCUGAUCCAUCUAGGGCUGUGUGUGUGUGACAGUGUGUGUGUGAUUGUGUGUGUGUGUAUGAUUGUGUGUGUGUAUGAUUGUGUGUGUGUGUAUGUGUGCACAUGUCUUUAUGGGGAUUGAGGGUGGGUGGAACAGAGACUGGGAGAGACACUUUGUGAAAUGUUUAUAUUUUAUGCCUUUUGAUGUAAUUCCAACUAGAUCUUAAAUCAUGCAGCAGGAAGCUCCUUAAAAUUUUUAAUUUGUUGUUUUUCUUAGAAAUGAUUAUUUCCACAUUGCGCCCAGAGACACUCGUGCCUCGUCCUGCCUCCCAUCCUUGUGCUGUUCUAAAAGGUCCCCAGGCGGUGGUUGUUUACUGCUGCCAAUCAGGUGGGCUUUGCACAAACCAUGCUUUGGGCCCACCCUGUCGUUCUGUGAAGCUGUAAUAUCUUUGGGAAGAUUUUUAUAGCUUGUCCCACAUAGGCUGGGGCUGGGAUAUUUAGAAGAAGGCCAACCUGUAGAUUCCUUGCUAAAAACCACAUGGUAUUUUACAAGACGGGUUGAGAGGGAGAGCUGGGGCUGGGUGUGGGGCGGCAUAGAGCUGGAUUCUUGGGGAAU
rnacentral:lncRNA from 10 species